rnacentral:tRNA from 2 species
CGAAUCCCUCUCUCUCCU